rnacentral:rRNA from 1 species
GACGAACGCUGGCGGCGUGCUUAACACAUGCAAGUCGAGCGGUAAGGCCCUUUCGGGGGUACGACGAGCGGCGAACGGGUAGGAGUAACAACGUGGGUGGACCUCGCCCUCCAGCUCUGGGAGUAAGACCUCGGGAAACCGGGGUACCGUAAUAACCGGGACUAUGACUCCAUGACGCAUGUUGUGGGGUGGAAAGCCUUGUGCGGCUGAGGAUGGGCCCGCGGCCUAUCAGCUUGUUGGUGGGGUGAUGGCCUACCAAGGCGACGACGGGUAGCCGGCCUGAGAGGGCGACCGGCCACACUGGGACUGAGACACGGCCCAGACUCCUACGGGAGGGCAGCAGUGGGGGAA